CUGUAUGUAUUUUAAAACGUAUUUCACUUGAUAGGACCUCUAGUGCAAUAGUGAAUAGAAGUGGUAAGAGCAGAUAUUCGUUACUUACUUAAAAUCUUAGAGGAAGAGAUUAAAACAUUCAGCAUUUCACCAUUAAUUAUGAUUUUACCUAUAUGCUUAACAUAUAUGUUCUUUUUCAGGUUAAAUUUCUCUUCUUAGUUUGCUGAGAGUUUUUAUCACAAAUUAAUAUUGGAUUUUAUAAAUUUUUUUAGCACCUAAUGAGUUGAUCAUAUGGUUUUCCCUUUUUAUUCCGUUAAUACAGGUUAACCAUCCUUAAUCCAAAAAUCCAAAAUUCCAAAUGCUCCAAAAUCUGCAACUUUUUUGAGUGCCAACAAUGACGCCCUGCCCCAAGUGGAAAAUUCCAUAUAAGGAAUAUACCUAUAGCCACUUAGCCAGCAAGCAACAGAACUGGAAUUCAGCUGCAUAGUCUGGGCCCAUGGUCCACACUCUUCACUGCUUCAUAGCCUCCACAGUCAAAAAUCCAUGUGUAACUUUUGACUCCCCUAAAACUUAACUACGAAUAGCCUACUGUUGACUGGAAGCCUUACUGAUAAUAUAAAUGAUU
rnacentral:lncRNA from 1 species